rnacentral:rRNA from 1 species
GGAUUAGAUACCCUGGUAGUCCACGCCGUAAACGAUGCGCACUAGAUCGUGGAAGGUCUGACCCUGCUCACGGUCGAAGCAAAAGUGUUAAGUGCGCCGCCUGGGGAGUACGGUCGCAAGGCUAAAACUCAAAGGAAUUGACGGGGGCUCACACAAGCGGUGGAGCAUGUGGCUUAAUUCGAAACAACGCGAAGAACCUUAUCCUGGGUUUGACAUGCAUGGAUUAGCUUCUGGAAACAGGAGUAACGCGGCUUGCCGUGGAACAUGCACAGGUGCUGCAUGGCUGUCGUCAGCUCGUGCUG